rnacentral:rRNA from 1 species
UACGAAGGGGGCUAGCGUUGUUCGGAUUUACUGGGCGUAAAGCGCACGAGGCGGAUUCUUAAGUCAGGGGGUGAAAUCCCCGAGGCUCAACCUCGGAACUGCCCUUUGAUACUGGGGGAUCUCGAGUCGGGGAGAGGGUGAGUGGGAACUGCGAGUGUAGAGGUGAAAUCGUAGAUAUCGCAAGACACCAGUGGCGAAGGCGGCUCACUGGCCCGAUCUGCGCUGAGGACGAAAGCG